rnacentral:rRNA from 1 species
CCUCACUAGCCUUCGGGGUACACGAGCGGCGAACGGGUGAGUAACACGUGAGCAACCUGCCCCUGACACCGGGAUAAGCCGUGGAAACGCGGUCUAAUACCGGAUACGACGCGCCCCCGCAUGGGGUGCGCGUGGAAAGGUUCACUCCGGUCGGGGAUGGGCUCGCGGCCUAUCAGCUUGUUGGUGGGGUGAAGGCCUACCAAGGCGAUUACGGGUAGCCGGCCUGAGAGGGCGACCGGCCACACUGGGACUGAGACACGGCCCAGACUCCUGCGGGAGGCAGCAGUGGGGAAUAUUGCGCAAUGGGCGGAAGCCUGACGCAGCGACGCCGCGUGGGGGAUGACGGCCUUCGGGUUGUAAACCUCUUUUACCACUCACGCAGGCCCCGGGUUCUCCCGGGGUUGACGGUAGGUGGGGAAUAAGGACCGGCUAACUACGUGCCAGCAGCCGCGGUAAUACGUAGGGUCCGAGCGUUGUCCGGAAUUAUUGGGCGUAAAGAGCUCGUAGGCGGCGUGUCGCGUCUGCUGUGAAAGACCGGGGCUUAACCCCGGUUUUGCAGUGGAUACGGGCAUGCUAGAGGUAGGUAGGGGAGACUGGAAUUCCUGGUGUAGCGGUGAGAUGCGCAGAUAUCACGAGGAACACCGGUGGCGAAGGCGGGUCUCUGGGCCUUACCUGACGCUGAGGAGCGAAAGCGUGGGAGCGAACAGGAUUAGAUACCCUGGUAGUCCACGCCGUAAACGUUGGGCGCUAUGUGUGGGGGCUUUCCACGGUUCCCGUGCCGCAGCUAACGCAUUAAGCGCCCCGCCUGGGGAGUACGGCGCAAGGCUAAUACUCAAAGAAUUGACGGGGAGCCCUGCACAAGCGGUGGAGCAUGUUGCUUAAUGCGACGCAUACGCGUAUAUCGUUACAAGGUUUGACAUCACGGGUAAUGCAUCAGAGAUGGUGGGGUCUUUCGGAGGAUCGGUGACAGGUCGGUGCAUGACUGUCGUCAGCUCGUGUCGUGAGAUGUUGGGUUAAGUCCCGUCAACUGAGCAGCA